rnacentral:tRNA from 1 species
UCCCUGGUGGUCCAGUGGUUAGGACUCUGUGCUUCCAAUGCAGGAGGUGCAGGUUUGGUCCCUGGAUGGGGAA